rnacentral:lncRNA from 1 species
AUUCUUCCAUCAUGGACACUAAUAAACAUCUUUGAAGUUGCCAUAAAAGGUCUUCCAAGAAUCAUUGGAAUCCUUUCAUCAUUUUCCAUGCCUAUGACUAUAAAAUCAACCAAGAACUCUAGUUGCUCCACACACACAAUCACAUUCUCCACUAUACCAAGUGGUUCUUCUGUAGAACCAUCUGCCACUGUCACAGUAAGGUUUGACGGUUUGAAUACUAGCCCUCCAAUUUUCUUUAAGAAACGCUCAGGCAUCAUAUUAAUGCUAGAUCCAGAAUCUAUCAUGGCUCCUCCUACAUCGACAUCAUUCACAACACAUGAAAGGGUCAAACAACCUGGAUCUUUUACCUUAGGUGGAUAAUUCUUCUUUUGAGGUUGAAUAUCAAAUUCCUAUUCCUCUUCAUCAAGAUCUUUUACCUUAGGCGGAUAAUUCUUCUUUUGAGGUUGGAUCACUGAAGGCACUACAGUCACAUAGUUAAUAAUUUCUCUAGACUGCCCAUUGUGACCGUCUCUUACCUCCUCUUCUUCCUCACCUUCACUACUUCUAGCUCAAUAAUUUCUUUUUCCUCUUCUUCAUCUUCACUACUCCCAAUUUCCACAACUUCCCUGUCCACUUUCCUUUUCCUCCUAGUAACAACAGCUUUACACUCCUCUUUAGGGUUAACAUCAGUAUUAGCCCUAAAUUGGUUCUUCUCAAUCGUUUCUACCCUAUUUGACAACUGACCAAUUUGCAUCUCCAAGGAUCUG